UGAUGAUAAACUUCAAUGGUAAACAGAAGGGUUCUUCACUUCAGUGGGAAUUCUGCAUGUAUGAAGAGACGGGGUCCAGUCAAAUCAGCCCAUUUCGUAUCAAAUAAGUAAAUAAAUUAGCAUGAGAGUGUCCGCAAUGCCAAGUCAGCGCCAUGUGACAUAGGUCUAAGAGAAUGUGGACACUGGAGACCUUACUCGCACGGUUACCAAAUUACCAUAGGAUGUUACGUCCUUGGUUUCUUAAAUUUCCUGGUCGAGGAUACCCGGAGCUGGUUUGAUCCUCCUCUAAAGAGGCUGGAUCUUUCCGCAGAUGUAUACACACACAUGUUCUUUAAGAAGCUGACUUUUUUUUUUUUUUUCAUAUGGAGAUGUAGUGAAAAUAAGGCCCAUUAAUUAGAGCAAGUAAUUUAUGGAAUUAAAAAAAAUUUUUUUUAAUGUUUUUAUUUAUUUUUGAAGGAGAGAGAGACAGAGCAUGAGCAGGGGAGGAGCAAAGAGAGAGGGAGACACAGAAUCCGACGCAGGCUGCAGGCUCCGAGCUGUCAGCACAGAGCCCGACGCGGGGCUCGAACUCACGGACCAUGAGAUCGUGACUGGAGCCGAAGUCCGACGCUUAACCGACUGAGCCACCCAGGCGCCCCUGGAAUUUUUAAUAUUUGUCAUUUCUUCAUUGGUUCAGAUGGGCCUAGUCAACAAUUUGCAUGAAGUAAACAAAAUGAGAAAAACCAAAACAACAAUUUUCUGCGCGUGUGUGAGAGAGAAGGGCAUAGACUGAUGCCGUGAGAGAGAGGUUAUUUCAUAGGAAGCAUUAUGUUUUGGCAGAAGAAAUCCAUCAAACAAAUGACCACCUGGAAAGGCCACAGGGAGCCAUCUGGGCUCCAUGAGAAAGCUGACUUGGCGACUGAUGGAAGGACAAGCAGAGAAAGAGAGCCAUGGUCUUUUUGGGUCGUCUUAAACAAGUCCCAGGGCGUAGAGGAGAGAAAUAAUACUGAAAAAAAUCUUUCCCCAGAGGACACAGCUUUGUACUCCAUACAUACCGUAAAGGUGACGCAGCAAAGAAUGCAAGGGCUUCAUAGCUCCAGACAACUCACAUUAAGGAACAAAGGACAACACCGGAGACCUUGAAGGAGAAGGAAAAAAAAAAGAGAGAGAAAGAAGAAGAUUGUAUAAAGUAUACAAGCAUUUUCAAUAGCUUAUAAUGUCAUCUGAACAUUUUUCUCUAACUGUAAGUGGGAACAUCAAAAGAAAAACAACCAAGCAGACCCCCUGUCACUGCGAAGUGGUGUCAAACCUCACUCGGCUGGGACAAUGACUUGAGGCUGUUAAUGGCCACCACUGAAUGCAGUCAGGCCUGGUCUCCCGGGCAAGACGAGGCCCAGCAAAGGCUUUGUCUAAAUAAAUGUGUUACACACAGAACA
rnacentral:lncRNA from 1 species